rnacentral:rRNA from 1 species
CCUACGGGUGGCUGCAGUGAGGAAUAUUGGUCAAUGGGCGCGAACCUGAACCAGCCAAGUCGCGUGAGGGAGGACGGCCCUACGGGUUGUAAACCUCUUUUGCCGGGGAGCAACGGGCGCCACGUGUGGCGUCACUGAGAGUACCCGGAGAAAAAGCAUCGGCUAACUCCGUGCCAGCGGCCGAGGUAAUACGGAGGAUGCGAGCGUUAUCCGGAUUUAUUGGGUUAAAAGGGUGCGUAGGCGGAUCGUUAAGUCAGUGGUCAAAUUGAGGGGCUCAACCCCUUCCCGCCAUUGAAACUGGCGUUCUUGAGUGGAAGAGAAGUAGGCGGAAUGCGUGGUGUAGCGGUGAAAUGCAUAGAUAGCACGCAGAACCCCGAUUGCGAAGGCAGCAUGCCGGCUUCCGACUGACGCUGAAGCACGAAAGCGUGGGGAUUGAACAGGAUUAGAUACCCCUGUAGUC